GAUUUAAGCUUCAAAAUCACAAUGUAAUGGAAAGAAAAUAAAAAUACAAUAGUACCAUACACAUACUAUUCGCUUAUAAAUCAUAGCUUAAUAAAUCGAAAUGAAAAUGGCAACACAACCACAAACUAUUUACAAAAUUUAACGAAAUUAUUUACAACAUGAUAUGAACAUGGCUAGAGAUUACUUAAUUAGAAUGACUAGACAUAUUUUAAAAAAUCAAAGAAUCUACUAAAAACAAUUAAUUAAUUAAUCAAAUAAUUAGACACAAAAAAAGUCAAUCAAUUAUGUAAUUAAUAAUUAACACUAAAAAAACUAAAUAAAACUAGGGAGUGCAUGCAUGUAUUGGGGUUCUAUUAAAUAUGAGCAAAAUGGACCUAAAGCCCCAAACCAAACCCUAAUUACAAAGAAAGUCAUAAUAAAUAGAAAAAUAAGCAAACUCUCAUGAGAGAGGGAGCGGCGCACCAUGUGGUAAUACACCAUUUUUAUCUAAACAUUAGAAUUAGCCACUAAACAACUACAACUUUUGAAAGAUGAAACAAAGAAAGUGAGUGAUAUUGUACGCCCAAUCUUUCUUGAUUCACUCUCUUGCAUCAUUUAAAAAAAUACAAAGCACCCACUCAUACAUCAACAUGUGGCAUAAAGAUAAUGAUAAAUAAAACAAAACCUCAAACUUCUUCCUCUCUUAAGCAUGUUAAGCUGUAACAAAAAGAAUAUUUUUUUU
rnacentral:lncRNA from 1 species